GACGAACCGUGCGAACGUUGUUCGGAAUCACUGGGCUUAAAGGGCGCGUGAGGCGGGCCGGAUAGUCAUGUGGUGAAAGCCUCCAGCUUAACUGGAGAAGUGCCGUGGAUACCUGCCGGUCUGAGGAAGGUAGGGGCAUCUGGAACGCUGGGUGGAGCGGUGAAAUGCGUUGAUAUCAUUUGGAACGCCAAUGGUGAAAACAGGUAGCUGGGGCUGUGCUGACACUGAGACACGAAAGCCAGGGGAGCAAACGGG
rnacentral:rRNA from 1 species